rnacentral:lncRNA from 1 species
UUCACUUGCCCCUGGAAUCGGGCGCGAAAGACAAGACUUUCUUGAGCACAAGGCCACCUUUUCGGAACACACGAGGCUUGACCUUCUUAUCGAAUGCUUUCUUCACUCUCUGCUGAUAUAACUGACCAUGCCACAUGGCAGUUAACCUCUUCUUUUCGAUUGGAUUCACUUGGUCGUAACGACUCUGAAUCCAUUCAGCAUCAGUCAACUUGGGACUUUGAGGGUGCUAUUUCUCUUUUGUUUCUUUCUUUCUUUUUUCUUUUGAUUUCGAUCUCUUUUGAUUUCUUCUGAUUUCUUUCUUUCUUUUUUUGCACCCUCCUCUUUCUUUUCUUUUUUUUUAAUGCCCCAGUUGGCUGUUUUGCUGAUUCUCGAGAUGCAGCUGAGUGAUCUUCUUUUCUUGCUCAAGAAGUCGGGAAAUCUCGUCAGGAAUCCCUUCAACAUCAUCUUCUUCCACUUCGAAUACAGGGAAUUCAAAAUUGGGAGAUGACGUCGGAUCAUUAUGUUCAAUGGGUUUAAGAAUCAACCUGCAUAAUGACUUUGAUAUGAAAAGCUUUUUG